UGUAUCUGAAAGGGCCAUUCCAGUGAAGACGAGUAGGGCGGGGCACGUGAAACCCUGUCUGAACAUGGGGGGACCAUCCUCCAAGGCUAAAUACUACUGACCGACCGAUAGUGAACCAGUACCGUGAGGGAAAGGCGAAAAGAACCCCGGAGAGGGGAGUGAAAUAGAACCUGAAACCGUGUGCGUACAAGCAGUAGGAGCUCCGCAAGGAGUGACUGCGUACCUUUUGUAUAAUGGGUCAGCGACUUACUGUUCGUGGCAAGCUUAACCGUAUAGGGGAGGCGAAGGGAAACCGAGUCUGAUAAGGGCGCAUAGUCGCGGGCAGUAGACCCGAAACCGGGUGAUCUAGUCAUGCCCAGGGUGAAGGUGCGGUAACACGCACUGGAGGCCCGAACCCACUCCCGUUGCAAAGGUAGGGGAUGAGGUGUGAUUAGGAGUGAAAAGCUAAUCGAACCCGGAGAUAGCUGGUUCUCCUCGAAAGCUAUUUAGGUAGCGCCUCAUAUGUAUCCUCUCGGGGGUAGAGCACUGUUAUGGCUAGGGGGUCAUCGCGACUUACCAAACCAUUGCAAACUCCGAAUACCGAGACGGACUGUAUGGGAGACACACGGCGGGUGCUAACGUCCGUCGUGAAAAGGGAAACAACCCAGACCCACAGCUAAGGUCCCAAAUUCACUGCUAAGUGGAAAACCAUGUGGAAAGGCACAGACAGCCAGGAGGUUGGCUUAGAAGCAGCCACCCUUUAAAGAAAGCGUAAUAGCUCACUGGUCGAGUCGGUCUGCGGGGAAGAUUUAACGGGGCUAAGCAGUGAACCGAAGCUUGGGGUGCAUAACUUUGUUAUGCGCGGUAGAGGAGCGUUCCGUAAGCCGUUGAAGGUGGAUUGAGAAGUCUGCUGGAGGUAUCGGAAGUGCGAAUGCUGACAUGAGUAACGAUAAUGCGGGUGAAAAACCCGCACGCCGAAAGCCCAAGGUUUCCUUGCGCAACGUUAAUCGGCGCAGGGUGAGUCGGCCCCUAAGGCGAGGACGAAAGUCGUAGUCGAUGGGAAGCAGGUUAAUAUUCCUGCACCUCGCGUAAGUGCGAUGGAGGGACGGAGAAGGUUAGGUGUACCAGGCGUUGGUUGUCCUGGGGAAAGGCGGUAGGUUUGGAUCUUUGGCAAAUCCGGGAUCCUUUAAGACC
rnacentral:rRNA from 1 species